ensembl:lncRNA
UACUUUAUUUUUUAUUUAUUUAUUUUUAUUUUUUGAGAUAGAGUCUCUCUCUGUCACUAGGCUGGAGUGCAGUGGUGCAAUCUUGGCUCACUGCAACUUCUGCCUCCCAGGUUCAAGCAAUUCUCCUGCCUCAGCCUCCCGAGCAGCUGGGAUAACAGGCACCCGCCACCAUGCCCAGCUAAUUUUUGUAUUUUCAGUAGAGAUGGGGUUUCACCGUGUUAGCCAGGAUGGUCUCAAUCUCUUAACCUUGUGACCGCCCACCUCGGCCUCCCAAAGUGCUGGGAUUACAGGCAUGAGCCACCGCGCCUGAGCGAUUUUCUUAAGAUAACCGGUUAUCCCCCACUUCCUGACAGCAUCCAUUUCGAGAGCCCUGCUUCCUUGAACCCUACCCAGGACUACCUAUCAUGCAUCCAAAUCUUAAAUCCGUUCUGACAUCUUACUGAGUCUUUUGCACAAUUUUUGGAGGUGUGUUGUUCUUAUACAGUGAGCAGUCAGCCCAACUUGUUCAGGGCAGAUUGUGUUCCUAUGUUAUCUGGUCUGGAGCUGCACCGUGGUUGCCCUAUUCAGAUAGAGCGUGCAUUUUUAAUUUUGUCAUAGUCUCCCAUAUCCCACUAGUGUUGGUCACAUUCUUUGGCCAUUCAAAUUUGCAAGUCUUGCCAUGGACUGUCAAGGGUUGAGGGCAUUUCCUUAGGCACCAUCUGACUGGGUCCCUGAUUAAGGUACAUGUUAGAUUUACUCGACAUCAGGUCUGGGGUCCUCCUGAGUGAUGACCAGUGACUUCAACCUCCCACAAAGUGGACUUUAAUUUGCACAGCAUCCAGGGUAGGUUGCUGGAGGGAAACUGCUGGAUCAUCAGGAAAUCAGCACCAGCUCACAUUUCACACAUGAGAUUGUGUGAAGCUGGGCUGAAACAACUCCCCACACUGAUGCUCAACACAGCUUACUGGCUGAAUGUCUAAUCAGAUCCUAAUUCCUUGGUAAUUGCUGGCCCAUGAUACAGUUAAUACUCUGAUCUUGAAUAUUUCAUCUUUGAAUGAACAGAUGUGCUGUUCAGUGGAGGGAUAAUAAACUUGCAUAUUACAGUUUCAGAAAAUUAAAAUCCCUGAUGGAUGGUGUCUUUGAUUAAAGUCAGCUUGUUAUAGUUUUCUCCUGGUUCUUGCACUCCAUCCACUGAAAAAUAAUUUGCUCAUCAGAGCAGACUCUAGAGAGGCACAGGAUGUGAGCACUGGACCUUGGCAGCAUCUAGUGACAUCCCCUAGGGCUGCCUUAUCUAUGUCACCCAGCGAGUUUACGCCAGUGCUGUGCCUUGAGCCCAGGUUUUUCCGGGUCCUGAUUCCAGAGCCGGCUGCUCAGCUGAUUGCUAGUUCAUCCCAUGCUUCAGGGACCUCAUCCUAGACCCUGCCUGAUGUAAGCUGCCCAAGGGCUGGGGAAAGGGGUGUGGAAAUACAGAGACCCUGGCGGAGCUAAGCUAUCAGAGCCAAAAGACUUCAUUCUUACGGGGCAGGUAACGCCCUCAUUUUACAGGAGAGAAAAAUGUUUAAUCUGAAAUUUAUCUGGUGGUGGGAAUGGAGACUGGGGAGGGGGCGGUGGUGGUGGAGAAUCCUGCCAGAGGAGAAGGUGAAUCUUUUAUCUCCAUCCAUUUUGAGCCACUGCAAACCAUCCGGCCCUUCUUCCCUGGGCUCUUUGUGCUUGCUGGGUCCCUCCCACCCCGGUCACAAGAGGGCAGUACCAGUCCACACCUCAGCC